ACCCUAUGCCUCCAUUGAGUUCUUCUAGCUGUUGAGCGUCCAAAGUGGAAUUAGCUAUCAAAAUGGGUUCAAGCUAAACUCUAAUUUAUUUAUUUCUUUGGAUUCAGGUGCACAUGUCAUAGGUGCAGAUGGGCUUGAUCAAGCCGUUAAAUUAAUUUCAUUUACGAACUGAUGUGAAGGCGAUGUUUUUUAGUAGAUAUUUCUUCAACAUAUGAAUGGUGCUUGCUUCUUGCGUCCAAAGAUGAUUCACUAUUUUGUUGCUUCAAAUUAGGCUCGAACCAACCAUACCUACAGUAAACACAUCAUAAUUAGAGCUAAACUAUUUUGUGUUCCAUUGAUUUUCAUAACAUGUUGUUUGGAUUGUUGUUGCUAAUUUCUUUGAAAUUGAUUUUCAUAGCAUGCCGUUUGACACUGUCGGCCUCGCGAACCAACCAUACCUACACAUGCCGUCUGACACCGUCGGCCUCACCGUACUCAGCCAGGUUGCCACAACAAGGCGUCAGGAGUUCCAUAUGAACUGGUUGACUGUGGGUGCGGGCAUGGGUACAUCAGAGAAGGGCUCCACUCUUUCAGAGCUAAGUAUUUUUUUAACUAAAUAAAGAUCCAUGUCUGCACUGUUAUAUAUUUGGUUCAACUCAUAUUACAAGUAUGCAUCUAUCUAUAUAUGUUCCCAAACGAGUGAACCCCUUCCAAUGUCAAGAUUAUGCAUGUCUUUCACAUUGUAGCUUCCCAUUGCCCGUUCGUAUGUGCCUCGAAUGGCUUCACCAUUGCAAAAGGUAUUGUAGUCGUGCACAACAUACUACACCGAAUUCUUUGUAGCUUUGUGGAAUUUUGCUGAAAACUGUUGUUAUUAUUUGAGAAUUGAGAGUGAUGUUAUUUUCUUCCUAUGUUGUAGAGUCCAGAAAAGUUUGGUGAAAGGGAACACUAUCAUGGUCUUUUAUAGAGCUACAGAUCAAUCUUUACGAAUGUUUUUCUGUAGGCAAUUGUUUGCUCUGCUUGAAACUGUGAGACCGGUAUUUUGAUUUGUUGUUUCUUCUUAACUGCAGAUUUGUC